rnacentral:tRNA from 1 species
GCGAGAGUGGUGAAAUUGGUAUACACGCCAGAUUUAGGUUCUGGUGCCGAAAGGCGUGAGGGUUCGAGUCCCUCUUCUCGCA